rnacentral:rRNA from 1 species
AAUCAACGCUGGCGGCGUGCCUAACACAUGCAAGUCGAACGCGAAAGUGGAGCAAUCCAUGAGUAGAGUGGCAAACGGGUGAGUAACGCGUGGGCGACCUACCUUCGAGUGGGGGAUAACAUUCCGAAAGGAGUGCUAAUACCGCAUGACAUCCCGUGUUUGGAUACACGGACAUCAAAGCAGGGGAUCGCAAGACCUGGCGCUUGGAGAGGGGCCCGCGCCGAUUAGCUAGUUGGUGAGGUAACGGCUCACCAAGGCUCCGAUCGGUAUCCGGCCUGAGAGGGCGGACGGACACACUGGAACUGAGACACGGUCCAGACUCCUACGGGAGGCAGCAGUGGGGAAUUGUUCACAAUGGGCGCAAGCCUGAUGACGCAACGCCGCGUGGAGGAUGAAGACUUUC